AGCCAAACAGUGGAUGGAGCUUGGGGACUCUUAUGGAAGAAUAAGAGGAAGAAAUGUGGUCACUAGGAGGCUAGGACCUCCACAGAAAGAACAACAGAGUCAACUAACCUGGACCCUCGAGGCUCCCAGAGACUGAACUACCAACCAAAGAGCGCACGAGGGCUAGACCUAGCCCCACCCCCCCAUACACACACAUAUGUAGCAGCUGUGCAGCUUGAACAUAUGAGUUAAUUUUCUUUAGCCAGAAAUCAGGGGUGAUGUCACUGCAGGAAGUUCCUGACCGGAUUAAGGGCAGGACAAGCCCUUUGGUUUAAUUUACCACUGCGGGUACUCUCGAUUCAGAAGCUGUAAGAGAAGAUCGUUCCACACCUACUUAGGAUGGCUGAGCCCAUAUAGAAAUGCCACAAAAUCCAAAGUAACAACAACAACCAAAAGGUAGUUGGCUAUGUUCCAUGUCAAAGAUGCAUCUCAAUUGAAGAGGACUAUACUUGUAUAUUGAAGAGGACUAUACUUGUAUAUUGAAGAGGACUAUACUUGUAUAUUGAAGAGGACUAUGCUUGUAUAUUGAAGAGGACUAUACUAUAUACAUAGGUUGUUUCACCUUAGGAAACUGACUGGGCUGAAUGAGGUUUGGCAAG